ensembl:ncRNA C06A6.14 ncRNA
CCCUCUCCGCCUCCUUCCCCACCCCCCACACAUCGACCACUCGACGUUCAAGAAACAACAGGGCAAACACGGAGGAUAGAGACAUCGAGAUAUUGUGUAAUUUGAAGAGAGUCGAUGACAUAGAACGCGGCGAGAUGUGGGCGGGGCUUGUGUUAAGUCCCGCCCAUCGGCGGUUUGGAGAGAAUUGAUCGAGGCCGAGACGGAGGGCACGCU